GUAAUACUCCCUCCGUCCCAAAAUUCUUGUCUUAGAUUUGUCUAGAUACGGAUGUAUCUAAUACUAAAAUGUGACUUGAUACAUCCGUAUUUAGACAAAUCUAAGACAAGAAUUUUGGGACAGAGGGAGUAUUAU
rnacentral:pre_miRNA from 1 species